GCCUAGACAAGCUCCUGUCUGGAGUUUCUCAGGUAGCUGAGGCUGGUAUCAAACUUACCAGGCGACCAAAGACGACCUUGAAUACCUGAACCUCUUGCUUCAACUCCACAGGGUGACUUUUGCCUACGGGUCCCACAAGGAAGGAGAGAA